UAAGUCUGCUACUUGGGGAGUACGUCCGCAAGGAUGAAACUUAAAGGAAUUGGCGGGGGAGCACCGCAACGGGAGGAGCGUGCGGUUUAAUUGGAUUCAACACCGGAAAACUCACCAGGAGCGACGGUUACAUGAAAGUCAGGCUAACGACCUUACUCGAUUUUCCGAGAGGUGGUGCAUGGCCGUCGUCAGUUCGUACCGUAAGGCGUUCUCUUAAGUGAGAUAACGAACGAGACCCUCACCAAUAGUUGCUACCAUUCCCUCCGGGGGGUGGGCACACUAUUGGGACCGCUGGCGCUAAGUCAGAGGAAGGAGAGGUCAACGGUAGGUCAGUAUGCCCCGAAUCUCCUGGGCUACACGCGCGCUACAAAGGGCGGGACAAUGAGUUCCGACAUCGAAAGGUGAAGGUAAUCUCGAAACCCGUCCGUAGUUCGGAUUGAGGGUUGUAACUCACCCUCAUGAAGCUGGAUUCCGUAGUAAUCGCGAAUCAACAAUUCGCGGUGAAUAUGCCCCUGCUCCUUGCACACACCGCCCGUCAAACCACCCGAGUUGGGUUUCGAUAAGGUUGCCUCUGAUUGGGGUUAUCGAAUCGAGAUUUAGCAAGGAGGGUUAAGUCGUAACAAGGUAUCUGUAGGGGAACCUGCAGAUGGAUCACCUCCU
rnacentral:rRNA from 1 species